GUCUGGGUCACGCCCCUCUUCCUGGAGGGCUUCAGGCACACCUGGCGCCCAGGAACUGCCGCCGACCGGGCUGCGCCCUCUCUCAAGCCUGGGUGUCCCCUCCGCUCAGAGGUCGGCGCGGGCGAGCGUCAGGGAAGGCUGUCCCCGCGGGCUUCCUGCUGCCGACCCCGUGCGCGGGGCCCGGAGGCCGGGUCCUUUAGGGUCCCCGCCGCAGGCUAAACUUCAGUGCUGGAGGUGCAGGGGCCACCGCCUCGCGCGGUCGGAUUCCAGCCCCUGCUCACCCUGUCCUCGCCUGUUAACUUACAGCUUUUCUUGUCUCCCACCUCCUUGCCGAGUCCCGCACAUCUGUAACUUCAGCGACGCUGAAGUUUGCAGCCCGCGUGAGAGGCGCGGCCCUGGGGGACAGGGCAGAGUUAAAACGCGACUCGGGCCUCCCUCCCCAGCUCCACUGCCCCGGGCGUGCCCUGAGCCUGCGGCCUUGGCAGUGGGCCCGGAAGGGUGGGUGCUGCCCCAAGGUCGCAUCCAGGCCCUCGGACCCUGCCGGGGCCAGUAGUGGGCAAGACGAGACUCCAAGAGCGGCCGGGCCGCUGGGGUCACUGGGGAUAGUCCUGAGGUCUUGCCGGGUAGGAUGGGGGUCCCAGACCCACGCUCCAGCGGGGACGCCCCGACUCCAGCCCGGCCCCGGCUCCGGACCGGCCGGGUCUCCGACACCGUCCGCCACGCACGCCGAUCCGCCCCCUCUCUGGCAGAACUGGGCCCUGGGCGUGGCCGUGGCCGUGGGCGUGGCUCUACCCAUGGCCUGAGCGCGCGGGACCCGGAGGGCUGAUGCCUCCCCGCCCCGUCUCCACAGCAACGGGCGUGUGCGGGGACCCAGAGCUGGCUGGGGUGGAAACCGCGGCCUACUUUCCCGCCUCCAGCAAACUCUGCAAUUGCUGAGGUUGAUUUAGCAGCACCCAAGGGAUCUGGGUCGGCAAGAGCACCUCAGUGACAGCCUGGCACCGGGGUCCGCAGGAGAAGGCCAGGCUGGGGCCAGGGAGCUGAGGCUGAGGAGGAGCGUUUGCACAGGCUAGGGAGACACGGCACAGCAGUAUCCGCCUCAGACAUUUGUAGCACCGUUAGUCCUGCCACUUUCUCUCACUGUAGCUUCGCAACAGACUUGGGAACCAAGCAAGGCAUGGCUGAGGAAGCUUAAGCCCAGUCUGGGCUCGCGGAAGAAGCUGGUGGAUCCAAAUAUCUGCUUCCUGCCUCCACCCACCCCUCCCCGCUCCGCAGGGGAGAUGGAACCUGGUCCACAGGGCCAAGCCUGUCCCAGCCCUCCAGGCAGACCGGCGGAAUAGCGUGGUUGGGGAACUCCAGAGCCCCACAUCACAGUUCAGCACGUGCCUCAGGAGCUUCAGCACCUCCUUCGUGAAAGGAGAGUCUGCCGGUAACGGGGGAAGCAGGCCAUCAGCCUGCCCAGCUUCAUCUCAGGCCGCUUCCAACAGCGCCAAGCAAACUCCCUUGGCAAGAUCCAUGCAAGGCCGCGGCUGACCACCGGGAGGCAGCAGCCUACUCUGCAAGGCACUCUCUUUACCCGACCCCCACCCCCUUUUAACAGGUGGCAGGAAACCUGCUGGCCCAGCCAUCUGCCGCACCCACCCUUCACUCCCAGUCCCAUCUCCCCAUAGCACAGAUUUCCCUAUCAUGAGCCCAGACGUGGCCUGCAUCUCCUCUUGCCUUCCUCUGCCCAAGGAAUCCCUACAGAGAUUCUUUCUCUAUCUUCCUUUAUACAUUUCCACAGAAUUGUUUCCCCAGGGCCCCUCCCCUUGAAGAAAUUAGACAGGAAGCUGGAGUAGAUGGUUCCCUCUUUCCCACCUCUCACACUCCCAAGCUCUGGUUAACUCUCUGUGGGCCAGUGGCUAGAUUCCCCAACACAGAUGACAACUGAACAAUACACAUGCAGCGUAAGAAUGUUGUCGCUGCCACCAGCCACUUACAGAUACACCAUUGCUAAGGUCCACCCAACUGGACUGUUUCCCCCUUCCAUAGACUAAGCCCCAAAGGCCAAAAAUAAAACCCCCUACCCCAAACCUGCCUAUAACUGUUUGACCAGAGGCCAGCUGUCCCAGGAUGCGGUUAAGAUGUCUACCUUGCACAACAGAACUGGCAAGAAAAACAUCUCCAGGAAGCGGUCAGAUACACGGCACAAAGGACUCCCCCCUCCCCGCUUUUCCUUUUCCUUCACCCUGACCCAGUUCUACGCCCUGUAAGACGUUGCUCCAGCCUAUAAGUGGGGCUGCCUCCUCUGCUUUUGUCAAGAGAUAGCCCGGCAGGACUGACAAUAAAUCAGUUUGCCUGAA
rnacentral:lncRNA from 1 species